AUUGAACGCUGGCGGCGGGCUUAACACAUGCAAGUCGAGCGGGGAAGGGUAGCUUGCUACCUAACCUAGCGGCGGACGGGUGAGUAAUGCCUAGGAAUCUGCCAUUUAGUGGGGGACAACAUUCCGAAAGGAAUGCUAAUACCGCAUACGUCCUACGGGAGAAAGCAGGGGAUCUUCGGACCUUGCGCUAAAUGAUGAGCCUAAGUCGGAUGAGCUAGUUGGUGGGGUAAAGGCCUACCAAGGCGACGAUCUGUAGCGGGUCUGAGAGGAUGAUCCGCCACACUGGGACUGAGACACGGCCCAGACUCCUACGGGAGGCAGCAGUGGGGAAUAUUGGACAAUGGGCGGAAGCCUGAUCCAGCCAUGCCGCGUGUGUGAAGAAGGCCUUAUGGUUGUAAAGCACUUUAAGCGAGGAGGAGGCUACUUAGAUUAAUACUCUAGGAUAGUAGACGUUACUCGCAGAAUAAGCACCGGCUAACUCUGUGCCAGCCGCCGCCGUAA
rnacentral:rRNA from 1 species